ACUCAUGGAAAAAAAUCGCUCCAGCUGCAUUAAUCGCUGUUCUAAUUCUGGCUGUCAUAAUCAUCUGUGGGAUCAUAUUCAUUAGAAGAAAAGGGUGCUUCAAAACAAAUUCAUCCAGAGAGAGGCCAGACAACAAGCCAGAGGAAAAUGCAUAUUAUCACAUGUUUGACCCUGAACCAAGUGGGCGUCCAAAGCGUGACGGCCCUUCAGCUCCAGCACAGAG